UCAUUAUCUUAAACAAAUUUGUGAUAAAAAAUGCUUCCUCCCUCCAUUAUCCAUACACCUCAUUCCUUUAAUUAACAUAUCUUUAUAAAUUUCAGACCAAGUCUCCCUUUUCCCACCCUUCAAAUCUCCUUCUUUUACUCUCCUCCACAUAUUCACUCUUCCCAUCCCAAUCAAUUAUUUUCAACAUAUUUGUCUAAAACCAUUAAUAUAGUUUCUGAAAAAACAUUUUUGUUAUUAUUUUACUGUUAGAAGAAGGGGAAGAAAACCAAAGGAGUAGGAGAAAGAGAAGCUUAAGCUCACAUACAUUUAACUAACCAAAAGAAAGAGAGUUUCAAAUUAUUAUUUUUCCAUAUAUUUAUAUUUUGCCUACUUAUAUUUGAUUUUAAACUUCUGCCUACAAAUGCCUCUCCACCACCCACCCACCCACCCUGUUCAAACCUGAGAACAUCUUAUUUGGUGGGGUGGGGUUCUUUAACUUUCCGGCGUGGGGUUGCUUGCUUAAUUCUCCGGCAAGUGGCUGCUUCAAAUUCCGACAAAAGGGUUUUUUCUUGAUUUUCCGGCGAGGGAUUGCUUAAUUUUUCGGCGAAGGGGAUUCUUGAUUUUCCGGCUAGGGGAAUUAUUAUUUUUUGAAAUAGUUUUGGGGGGAAAUUUUUGUUUUUGAUCGGAUUAAUACAACAACAACACACCGAGUGAAAUCCUAGGGGAAAAUAGAGUGUACACAGACUUUAUCUUAGGCGUUUUUGGUAGACCCUCGGACAAGCAAUUCGAUCGGAUUAAUACUACAACAACGUAGAAAUCCCACAAAGUAAAACUUGGGGGAGAAAAGAGUGUACGCAAACCUUACCCAGGUUGCUUCUGGCAUACAGAGAACAAGCAAAUCAAUUCGGGUUAAAUGACAAAACAAAUAGUGCUCCGUGCACCAUCAUCACUCUCCGUUGAUCGCCGCCGGCAACCUCUAUUAUCCGGACAAGAUUCCUCAUCCCGAGGAGGUGUCCGGAAAGCGGCGAGGUUCGCGGAGGUUGCCGGGGGGACGGCGGCGGAAUGCGCCGCCGUUUGUUGCUGCUGCCCAUGUGGGCUCGUCAACCUCCUCGUCCUCGCCGUAUACAAACUUCCGGCAGGACUCUGCCGGAAGGCGUUACGGCGAAAACGUAGGCGAAGGAUGAUGAAGAAAGGGCUAUUGCAACCGAAAGAAUCGGAGCUUUCGAUACACCCUAUCGGUGGUGGCGCCGCCACAAUGGCGGUGGUUGACGGUGGAAGUAGCUUGGAAUCCGAUAAGGAUGUGGUGGCACUUGAAAAGGAAAUGUGGAGUAAAUUUUAUGGUGCUGGAUUUUGGAGAAGUCCUUCUCAAAGGAGUGAUAUGUAAUAAUAUAACGGUUAAAUAACUGUAAAAAUGAAAAAUUGAAAAGAAAACAGAAUUAAAAAAUUCGUAUCUGAAAAAAGGAGAACAAAAAGGAAAUAUUACUCAGAUUCUAUGUAUAUUCUACCCUUGUAUUUACUGGUGAAUUUUUGGUUUCUUGAUCAAGAUGCUAUUUUUAUAGUGUUCGAUGGAUUACUUUAUAAAUAUUGAGCCAGUGAAGGAUCAAAAUGUUCUUCUUCUUCUUCUCUACUAUAACUCUUGAUUUCUUAAUCUAGUUGAAAUGGAAGAAAACGUUUUUUCUGAUUCUCCAUUUGAUGUUUAAUAUAAAAAACGUUUUUUCUGAUUCUCCAUUUGAUGUUUAAUAUAUGUGUUAAGGCUCGACUAAUUCGGAUUACUCUUUUCGUAUCGCUAGAGACAUUUAACCCCACUUUGCUAUCUUAAAUUACUUGCACUUUCGUAUUCUCAGUAUGGGUAGCAUUGAGUGUUUACAAGUAGCACGGUUUUUAAUGUUGAAUAACGGACAAAAUGUUUCAUUCAUUAGUAGUUUAAUGGCAUUAAGGAGGAAACGCCGGUGAAGGAUGAUGAAGAAAGGGCUAACGCAACCUAAAGAAUCGGAGCUUUCAAUACACCCUAUUGGUGGCGGCGCCGCCACAAUUGCGGUGGUUGACGGCGGAAGUAGCUGAGAAUCUGAUAAGGAUGUGGUGGCUCUUGAGAAGGAAAUGUGGAGUAAAUUUUAUGGUGCUGGAUUUUGGAGAAGUCCUUCUCAAAGGAGUGAUAUGUAAUAAAAUAACGGUAAAUAACUGUAAAAAAUAAAUGUUAAAAGAAAAAAAUUAUCUGAAAAAAGGAGAGCAAAAAGGAAAUAUCAUUCAAAUUCUAUGUAUAUUCAACCCUUAUAUUUACUGGUGAAUUUUUAGUUUCUUGAAGAUGCUAUUUUUAUAGAGUUAGAAGGAUUACUUUAUGAAUAUUAAGCCAGUGGAAAAUGCAAAUCUUCUUUUUCUUCUUCUCUAU